UCCACACAGAUUUACCAUAGAGUGUCAUCAUUGAUUCACCGAUUUGGAAAUGUUCAUGUGUCCACCCUGUUGUGGGCUGCCUGUUCCUGCUGCUGCUGUUUCUCUUCUGCACAGGUGGCGCGCCUCAAGCUGAUUGACACACCUGCUACUCAUCUUGUCAGUCCCUGUAUAUAAACCCCGGGCUUCACUCCAUCUUCGCCAGAAACUCAGCGUAUCUUUCACGGUAACUGGCCUCUCGUUUGUAUGCAGUGAUUAUUCUCAGCUCCCACGCUCGUUUGAUUGCGCGCAGCAAUUUUUCCUGCAGUCUGUCUGAGUUCCCAAGCUCAGCAUUUUUUGUUGUUGUUUUCUAGCUUCAGCUCGUUUCAACUGCUUCAGCUCGUUUCAACACUCUGGACUCAGCUAAGAUAAACUCUCACUUAAUUUGACUGUGAAUAAGAAUUGAUCUACUUCUGGAACCGACUCGGUUUGUGUGCUCAGUAAUUCACUCACCUGUGUAUCUUCUCCAGAUGCCAUGUCGACAGCUUGCAGGCGGCUAUCUGGCUUCCGGAUUACAUCAUUUGGGGUUCGACGCCAUGCUGACCGGCACCGGACCCCCUCCCCCCACUAGCAGCCCGGGGAGGAGGUGUGGCUUUCGUCGCGGGACGUAACCCUCCAGACGGACUCUCCCAAGCUACCUCCCAGAUACAUCAGUUCCUUCAUCGUUGACCGGGUGGUCAACCCCUCAGCCAUCCGACUCCGGCUAACGCAUUCACUGCGGAUCGACCUGGUCCAUGUAUCCCGACUAAAACCGGUGCACUCCAGCCCUCUGUGUCCUCCAGCUCCUCUGACGCCACCUGCCCGGAUAGUGGACGGUCACCCAGCCUAGACUGUCCGGAGGAUCCUGGACGUUUGGCCCUGAAGAACGCUCCUGGGUCAAGCAGGGCCUCAUUCUGGACCCUUCCCUCAUCCAGGAUCAUCCUAAUCGUCCUGGUGGCGCGCCGCAAGCUGAUCGACACACCUGCUACUCAUCUCGUCAGUCCCUGCAUAUAAGCCCCGGCUCUUCACUCCAUCUUCGCCAGAAACUCAGCGUAUCUUUCACGGUAACUGGCCUCUCGUUUGUAUGCAGUGAUUAUUCUGAGCUCCCACGCUCUUUUGAUUGCACGCAGCAAUUUUUCCUGCAGUCUGUCUGAGUUCCCAAGCUCAGCAUUUUUUUGUUGUCGUUUUUCUAGCUUCAGCUCGUUUCAACUGCUUCAGCUCGUUUCAACACGCUGGACUCAGCUAAGAUAAACUGUCACUUAAUUUGACUAUGAAUAAGAAUUGAUCUACUUCUGGAACUGUCUCAGUUCAUGUGCUCAGUAAUUCACUCACCUGUGUAUGUUCUCCAGACGCCAGCUUGCAGGCGGCCACCUGGCUUCCGGAUUACAUCAUUUACGGUUCGAUGCCACCUGGUCUGCGGUUCCCUGGUUCCACCGCAGAGUGGGCCCUGUCUCCACCUUGCAAGGCUGCCUCUUAAUCCACAUUCAUACAUUCUUAUUGUCUUCACUAUAAAUGAUCCUGGACAAAAGUACCACAUCCCUCUGCUGCUGAGUCGUUUCUCUUACAGUACCUACAGGGGGAGCUAGAGAGCAGAGCAUGAUGAUCCUCCUGAUGCCACGUCACACAUCACAACGCUAAUUCACUGUCAGUCAUAUACACACAUAAUACAUGUGUGCUGCACUUGAAGUGUUUAUACAGUUAAACCAGUUUUACAUUUCUAAAAACUACUGGAUGUAUGUGUGGAAUAAUAAAUACUGUGUAUCUUU